rnacentral:rRNA from 1 species
UUCUGUAAGCCUGCGAAGGUGGCCUGUGAGGGUUGCUGGAGGUAUCAGAAGUGCGAAUGCUGACAUAAGUAACGAUAAAGCGGGUGAAAAGCCCGCUCGCCGGAAGACCAAGGGUUCCUGUCCAACGUUAAUCGGGGCAGGGUGAGUCGACCCCUAAGGCGAGGCCGAAAGGCGUAGUCGAUGGGAAACGGGUUAAUAUUCCCGUACUUGGUGUUACUGCGAAGGGGGGACGGAGAAGGCUAUGUUGGCCGGGCGACGGUUGUCCCGGUUUAAGCGUGUAGGUGUGUGUUCCAGGUAAAUCCGGUUCACUUUAACACUGAGGCGUGACGACGAGGCACUACGGUGCUGAAGCAACAAAUGCCCUGCUUCCAGGAAAAGCCUCUAAGCAUCAGGUAACAUCAAAUCGUACCCCAAACCGACACAGGUGGUCAGGUAGAGAAUACCAAGGCGCUUGAGAGAACUCGGGUGAAGGAACUAGGCAAAAUGGUGCCGUAACUUCGGGAGAAGGCACGCUGACACGUAGGUGAAGUGAUUUACUCACGGAGCUGAAGUCAGUCGAAGAUACCAGCUGGCUGCAACUGUUUAUUAAAAACACAGCACUGUGCAAACACGAAAGUGGACGUAUACGGUGUGACGCCUGCCCGGUGCCGGAAGGUUAAUUGAUGGGGUCAGCGCAAGCGAAGCUCCUGAUCGAAGCCCCGGUAAACGGCGGCCGUAACUAUAACGGUCCUAAGGUAGCGAAAUUCCUUGUCGGGUAAGUUCCGACCUGCACGAAUGGCGUAAUGAUGGCCAGGCUGUCUCCACCCGAGACUCAGUGAAAUUGAACUCGCUGUGAAGAUGCAGUGUACCCGCGGCAAGACGGAAAGACCCCGUGAACCUUUACUAUAGCUUGACACUGAACAUUGAGCCUUGAUGUGUAGGAUAGGUGGGAGGCUUUGAAGCGUGGACGCCAGUCUGCGUGGAGCCGACCUUGAAAUACCACCCUUUAAUGUUUGAUGUUCUAACGUGGACCCGUGAUCCGGGUUGCGGACAGUGUCUGGUGGGUAGUUUGACUGGGGCGGUCUCCUCCUAAAGAGUAACGGAGGAGCACGAAGGUUGGCUAAUCCUGGUCGGACAUCAGGAGGUUAGUGCAAUGGCAUAAGCCAGCUUGACUGCGAGCGUGACGGCGCGAGCAGGUGCGAAAGCAGGUCAUAGUGAUCCGGUGGUUCUGAAUGGAAGGGCCAUCGCUCAACGGAUAAAAGGUACUCCGGGGAUAACAGGCUGAUACCGCCCAAGAGUUCAUAUCGACGGCGGUGUUUGGCACCUCGAUGUCGGCUCAUCACAUCCUGGGGCUGAAGUAGGUCCCAAGGGUAUGGCUGUUCGCCAUUUAAAGUGGUACGCGAGCUGGGUUUAGAACGUCGUGAGACAGUUCGGUCCCUAUCUGCCGUGGGCGCUGGAGAACUGAGGGGGGCUGCUCCUAGUACGAGAGGACCGGAGUGGACGCAUCACUGGUGUUCGGGUUGUCAUGCCAAUGGCACUGCCCGGUAGCUAAAUGCGGAAGAGAUAAGUGCUGAAAGCAUCUAAGCACGAAACUUGCCCCGA